rnacentral:rRNA from 1 species
ACGAACGCUGGCGGCGUGCUUAACCCAUGCAAGUCGAACGGAAAGGCCCCUUUGGGGGUACUCGAGUGGCGAACGGGUGAGUAACACGUGAGUAACCUGCCCUUGACUUCGGGAUAACUUCAGGAAACUGGGGCUAAUACCGGAUAGGAAUCCUUGCUGCAUGGUGGGGGUUGGAAAGCUUCGGCGGUUUUGGAUGGACUCGCGGCUUAUCAGCUUGUUGGUGGGGUAGUGGCUUACCAAGGCUUUGACGGGUAGCCGGCCUGAGAGGGCGACCGGCCACAGUGGGACUGAGAUACGGCCCAGACUCCUACGGGAGGCAGCAGUGGGGAAUAUUGCACAAUGGGCGGAAGCCUGAUGCAGCAACGCCGCGUGCGGGAGGACGGCCUUCGGGUUGUAAACCGCUUUCAGCAGGGGCGAAGCUUGUGGUGACGGUACCUGCAGAAGAAGCACCGGCUAACUACGUG